rnacentral:rRNA from 1 species
CCGCGGUAAUACGGGGGUCGCAAGCGUUGCUCGGAAUCACUGGGCGUAAAGCGUCCGCAGGCGGCUUGGUAAGUCGGGUGUGAAAGCCCGGGGCUCAACCCCGGAAUUGCAUUCGAAACUGCCUCGCUCGAGUACGGGAGAGGAUGGCGGAAUUCCUGGUGUAGAGGUGAAAUUCGUAGAUAUCAGGAGGAACACCGGUGGCGAAAGCGGCCAUCUGGCCCGAUACUGACGCUCAUGGACGAAAGCGUGGGGAGCAAACAGG